rnacentral:tRNA from 1 species
GCCGGGGUGGCGGAACUGGUAGACGCGCCGGAUUCAAAAUCCGGUUAUGGAAACAUAGUGAGAGUUCGAUUCUCUCCCUCGGCACCA